CACAACGAAGAUCCCACAUGAUGCAACUGGGACCCGGCACAGCCAAAAUGAAUAAGUACAUUUUUUUUAAAAAAAAAAAAGGAAAAUGUAGGUACAGAUGUAAGUAGGUGGGGAGAUAUGACUGUAGAAGCUUGUGAAAGUUCUGAGUGUUUCUAUUUUCUCAGUGAAACAGAAAAGGUCAUCUUCUGAAAAUGAGGAUGAAAGAAGAGGCAUUGGAGCUUUGAAGAAAGAGGAUAUGGCAUGAAAUAGAAUUUAAUAAAGACAAAAAUCGUGUGGUUGCUGGGCAGCAAAAAGGGAUCCCUAGAGAUCAACCGAGCAGCUUUUGGGAUCUUAGUUCCACGACCAGGAAUCAAACCCAGGACCCCUGCAGUGGAAGCUCAGAGUCCUAACCACUGGACAACCAGGGAAUUCCCUGCACUUUCUUAUUGACUAAUGAUGCCAAGCAACGUUUCAUGUACUUAAUUGGCAUUUCUGUAUACCUUCCUUGCAGAAAUUUCUAUUUAAAUCCUUUGCCUAUUUCUCAA